GUUCCAUCAUCCGCGGUAAUACCGGCAGCCCAAGUGAUGGCCGAUCUUAUUGGGCCUAAAGCGUCCGUAGCUGGCCGACCAAGUCUCCCGGGAAAUCCACCCGCCCAACGGGUGGGCGUCCGGUAGAAACUGGCCGGCUUGGAACCGGAAGGCUCAGAGAGUACGUCCGGGGUAGGAGUGAAAUCCCGUAAUCCCGGACGGACUACCGAUGGCGAAAGCACUUCGAGAAAACGGAUCCGACAGUGAGGGACGAAAGCCAGGGUCUCCAACCGGAUUAGAGACCCCGUAGUCC
rnacentral:rRNA from 1 species